UACGUAGGGUGCAAGCGUUGUCCGGAAUUAUUGGGCGUAAAGAGCUCGUAGGCGGUUUGUCGCGUCUGCCGUGAAAGUCCGGGGCUCAACUCCGGAUCUGCGGUGGGUACGGGCAGACUAGAGUGAUGUAGGGGAGACUGGAAUUCCUGGUGUAGCGGUGAAAUGCGUAGAUAUCAGGAGGAACACCGGUGGUGCAGACGGCUCUCUGGACCGUAACUGACGCUGAGACACGAAAGCGUGGGUAGCAAACAGG
rnacentral:rRNA from 1 species